rnacentral:rRNA from 1 species
UGCCAGCCGCCGCGGUAAUACGGAGGGGGUUAGCGUUGUUCGGAAUUACUGGGCGUAAAGCGUACGUAGGCGGAUUAUUAAGUGAGGGGUGAAAUCCCAGGGCUCAACCCUGGAACUGCCUCUCAUACUGGUAGUCUUGAGGUCGAGAGAGGUGAGUGGAAUUCCGAGUGUAGAGGUGAAAUUCGUAGAUAUUCGGAGGAACACCAGUGGCGAAGGCGGCUCACUGGCUCGAUACUGACGCUGAGGUACGAAAGUGUGGGGAGCAAACAGGAUUAGAUA